CCUGCUCAGUGAGUUUACAUGUUAGAGGGAGUGGGGUAUAGUGACACAGUAACAGAGGGAUUGAGGGUCCUGCUCAGUGAGUUUACAUGUUAGAGGGAGUGGGGUAUAGUGACACAGUAACAGAGGGAUUGAGGGCCUGCUCAGUGAGUUUACAUGUUAGAGGGAGUGGGGUAUAGUGACACAGUAACAGAGGUAUUGAGGGUCCUGCUCAAUGAGUUUACAUGCUAGAGGGAGUGGGGUAUAGUGACACAGUAACAGAGGGAUUGAGGGUCCUGCUCAGUGAGUUUACAUGUUAG